GACAGAGGGUGCAAACGUUGUUCGGAAUUACUGGGCGUAAAGCGUGCGCAGGCGGUUUUGUAAGUCUGUCGUGAAAUCCCCGGGCUCAACCUGGGAAUUGCGAUGGAGACUGCAAGGCUGGAGUCUGGCAGAGGGGGGUAGAAUUCCACGUGUAGCAGUGAAAUGCGUAGAGAUGUGGAGGAACACCGAUGGCGAAGGCAGCCCCCUGGGUCAAGACUGACGCUCAUGCACGAAAGCGUGGGGAGCAAACAGG
rnacentral:rRNA from 1 species